UACGUAGGGGGCAAGCGUUGUCCGGAAUCAUUGGGCGUAAAGAGCGUGUAGGCGGCCCGGUAAGUCCGCUGUGAAAGUCAAGGGCUCAACCCUUGAAUGCCGGUUGAUACUGUCGGGCUAGAGUCCGGAAGAGGCGAGUGGAAUUCCCGGUGUAGCGGUGAAAUGCGCAGAUAUCGGGAGGAACACCUAUGGCGAAGGCAGCUCGCUGGGACGUUACUGACGCUGAGACGCGAAAGCGUGGGGAGCAAACAGG
rnacentral:rRNA from 1 species